GCCAAUCCGAUGUUGGCUAGAUGACUGUGCCGAGUCACCCUCCUUCCGACUGAUCGAGAGCAUCGGAAGAAGCAGUCAGUAGCCGAGAUGCUCUCAUCCUUUUAUCCGACGGUGAUCGGAGUAAUUUUCUUCUUAUUUUUUAACUGACUUAUCUUCUAUCUGCAGUUGAUCCAUGGCAUGAUUGACUUGGAAGCUGGCUACUCGAAGUUCAGCGAUAUUUGCAAGUC
rnacentral:lncRNA from 1 species